UACGGAGGGUGCAAGCGUUACCCGGAAUCAUUGGGCGUAAAGAGCGUGUAGGCGGCCACUUAAGUCCUGCGUGAAAUCUUGCGGCUCAACCGCAAGCGGUCGUGGGAAACUGGGUGGCUAGAGUGCGGGAGAGGAGAGUGGAAUUCCUGGUGUAGCGGUGGAAUGCGCAGAUAUCAGGAAGAACACCCGUGGCGAAGGCGGUUCUCUGGCAAUGUUCUGACGCUGAGGAGCGAAAGUGUGGGGAGCGAACAGG
rnacentral:rRNA from 1 species